AUCGCGAAGGUGGUGGCGAUCCGCCGUGCGUCGCUUUUCGCGACGCGAGCACCGGCCUUCAGACGGGCCGGCGCGAUCC
rnacentral:tRNA from 1 species